GGCCUAUAUGUGAUGUAAUUAUUGCGAUUGAGAUAUGAUGUGACAUGUGUGACCGUAUUGGGUCCUAUGUGAUGUUGAUAGUCUUAAAUACAUAUGAAUAAUUAUAUUGUAUUGUUGAAAUGCCUAAUAUGGUUUUAUUGGUAUAUUGUGAUAUAUUCAUACUUAUUGGUAUGAUGGAUGAAACUUAAGUAAUGAGUGG
rnacentral:lncRNA from 1 species